rnacentral:rRNA from 1 species
UACGUAGGGUGCAAGCGUUGUCCGGAAUUAUUGGGCGUAAAGAGCUCGUAGGCGGUUUGUCGCGUCUGCCGUGAAAGUCCGGGGCUCAACUCCGGAUCUGCGGUGGGUACGGGCAGACUAGAGUGAUGUAGGGGAGACUGGAAUUCCUGGUGUAGCGGUGAAAUGCGCAGAUAUCAGGAGGAACACCGGUGGCGAAGGCGGGUCUCUGGGCCGUAACUGACGCUGAGGAGCGAAAGCGUGGGGAGCGAACAGG